rnacentral:rRNA from 1 species
GAUGAACGCUAGCGGCAGGCCUAAUACAUGCAAGCCGAACGGCAAGCUUUGUAGCAAUACGGAGCCUAGAGUGGCGUAAGGGUGCGUAACACGUAUGCAAUCUACCCUCAACAGGAGAAUAGCUCCCCGAAAGGGGAAUUAAUGUUCCAUAGGAUCAUGGUGCGGCAUCGCACAGUGAUUAAACCGCAAGGGGUUGAGGAUGAGCAUGCGCAUGAUUAGUUAGUUGGCGGGGUAACGGCCCACCAAGACGAUGAUCAUUAGGGGAACUGAGAGGUUGACUCCCCACACUGGCACU